rnacentral:rRNA from 1 species
UAUGUCUGGGCAUGCGGCUCCUAACCCAUGUGAACCUACCUUUGUUGCCUCGGCAGGUCU